GAUGAACGCUGGCGGCGUGCCUAAUACAUGCCAGUCGAGCGAACGGACGAGAAGCUUGCUUCUCUGAUGUUAGCGGCGGACGGGUGAGUAACACGUGGAUAACCUACCUAUAAGACUGGGAUAACUUCGGGAAACCGGAGCUAAUACCGGAUAAUAUUUUGAACCGCAUGGUUCAAAAGUGAAAGACGGUCUUGCUGUCACUUAUAGAUGGAUCCGCGCUGCAUUAGCUAGUUGGUAAGGUAACGGCUUACCAAGGCAACGAUGCAUAGCCGACCUGAGAGGGUGAUCGGCCACCCUGGAACUGAGCCACGGUCCAGACUCCUACGGGAGGCAGCAGUAGGGAAUCUUCCGCAAUGGGCGAAAGCCUGACGGAGCAACGCCGCGUGAGUGAUGAAGGUCUUCGGAUCGUAAAACUCUGUUAUUAGGGAAGAACAUAUGUGUAAGUAACUGUGCACAUCUUGACGGUACCUAAUCAGAAAGCCACGGCUAACUACGUG
rnacentral:rRNA from 1 species